UCUUUUCCUUGUGUGCCAGCAGCCGCGGUAAUACGGAAGGUCCGGGCGUUAUCCGGAUUUAUUGGGUUUAAAGGGAGCGUAGGCCGGAGAUUAAGCGUGUUGUGAAAUGUAGACGCUCAACGUCUGCACUGCAGCGCGAACUGGUUUCCUUGAGUACGCACAAAGUGGGCGGAAUUCGUGGUGUAGCGGUGAAAUGCUUAGAUAUCACGAAGAACUCCGAUUGCGAAGGCAGCUCACUGGAGCGCAACUGACGCUGAAGCUCGAAAGUGCGGGUAUCGAACAGG
rnacentral:rRNA from 1 species